rnacentral:ncRNA from 1 species
UUAAGAAAAUGGCAAACCUACCGAAAGUUGGGGACGCAAAGCCACGGGUCUACGGGUCUAACUGACUAUGACGGCUGGGUUACCGAG